GCGAAUUGCUCAUUACAACAGCCGUAGUUUAUUGGAUCUAUCAAUCCUACUUGGAUACCUGUGGUAAUUCUAGAGCUAAUACACGCAUUCAGCCCUGAUCUCUUUGAGAGAAGGGUGCAUUUAUUAGUCUAAAGCCAAUCGGCUUCGGCCGUCAUUUGGUGAAUCUGAAUAACUCAGCCGAUCGCACGGUCCUCGCACCGGCGACGUGUCUUUCAAGUGUCUGCCUUAUCAACUGUCGAUGGGAGUGUAUUGGACUCCCAUGGUUGUAACGGGUAACGGAGAAUAAGGGUUCGACUCCGGAGAGGGAGCCUGAGAAACGGCUACCACAUCCAAGGAAGGCAGCAGGCGCGCAAAUUACCCACUCUCAGUACGAGGAGGUAGUGACGAAAAAUAACGAGACGGGUCUCUUCGAGGCUCGUCAUCGGAAUGGGUACAAUCCAAACCCUUUAACGAGGAUCUAUUGGAGGGCAAGUCUGGUGCCAGCAGCCGCGGUAAUUCCAGCUCCAAUAGCGUAUAUUAAUGUUGUUGCGGUUAAAAGGCUCGUAGUUGGAUCUGCGUCCUCUGAGCCUGGUCCCCCAUUGGGUGUGUCUGGGUCUCAAGGACUACCUCGUUGGUCUUCCCUUGGUGGCCUUCAUUGGUUGCCUCGGGUGGCCAGCACGUUUACUUUGAAAAAAUUAGAGUGCUCAAAGCAGGCAAAUGCCUGAAUAGUGGUGCAUGGAAUAAUGGAAUAGGACCUCGGUUCUAUUUUGUUGGCUUUCGGAGCGCGAGGUAAUGAUUAAGAGGGACAGACGGGGGCAUUCGUAUUGCUGCGUUAGAGGUGAAAUUCUUGGAUCGCAGCAAGACGAACAACUGCGAAAGCAUUUGCCAAGAAUGUUUUCAUUAAUCAAGAACGAAAGUUAGAGGUUCGAAGGCGAUCAGAUACCGCCC
rnacentral:rRNA from 1 species